GCUUACGGCCACACCGCCUUUGGUUCACGCCCGACUCGUUUGACUCGGAAGCUAAGAUAGGUUGGGUGGUUAGUACUUGGAUGGGAGACCGCCUGGGAAUACCAGGUGCUGUAAGCU
rnacentral:rRNA from 1 species